rnacentral:SRP_RNA from 1 species
GCCGGGGAGAUAGCGGUGCCCUGUACCCGCAAUCCGCUACAGCGGGGGUGAUGUCCUGCCUCGGGCGAGUUGCUGCAGAGCUGCCCCUGAUAAGUGGCGUUGAAGUCUGGGUCUUGCGCAACAGGAAUCUGUGAACCGUGUCAGGGCAGGAAUGCAGCAGCACUAAGCAGAACCUCCUGUGUGACGCGAGGCAGCCUGGGCCGAGUUAACUGUCAGGGUAACGUCUG